rnacentral:rRNA from 1 species
UACAGAGGUCUCAAGCGUUUGUUCGGAUUCAUUGGGCGUAAAGGGCGCGUAGGCGGCGGGGCAAGUCGGGUGUGAAAUCUCAGGGCUCAACCCUGAAACUGCACUCGAUACUGCUCUGCUUGAGGACUGGAGAGGAGACUGGAAUUCACGGUGUAGCAGUGAAAUGCGUAGAUAUCGUGAGGAAGACCAGUGGCGAAGGCGGAUCUCUGGACAGUUCCUGACGCUGAGGCGCGAAGGCCAGGGGAGCAAACGGG